UCUGUUGGGGGCGGGCAGAGGCGUCGGCGCUGCCCCGGCGAGGGGCCGAGCCGGCGGGGCGCGCAGAAGCCGGCCCGAGCCCGGGCCCGAGCGCGGCUCCGCUCGGCUCCUCUGCGGCUCCCGCCGGGCCCUUCAGCCCCGGCCGGCCCCGGCGCGGCAGGGCACGAUGGCGCCCGGGCUGGGGCCGUGGCUCCUGGCCUUGUCCUUGGCCGCGGGGCCGGCAGGGCUGUGGGCGCAGCUGAGGCUGGUGGAGGACGGCGGAGGGCUGCGAGCGCCCGGGGACACCGUGCGCCUCUCCUGCCGCGGAUCCGGCUUCAACUUCGGGAAUUCCACAGUUUGGUGGUACCGUCAGGCAGUCGGCGGCAGUCUCGAGUGGGUGUCGUACAAGAGCUCUGAUUCCUCAGUCAUUGAAGUCGGGCAGUCUGUGGAUGGUCGAGCUACUGUAUUCUGGGACAAUUCCUGGUCUGAGUUAUAUCUGUCCCUGCAGCCCGUUCAGCCCCGGGACUCUGCCCGCUACUUCUGUGCUGUUGCACGGGGACAGGAAAUCCAGCUGAGCUUUAACACAAACCUGCUGGGCCACAAUGUCAGAGCUGUGGGGCAAGGGGCUGCUUGGGGUGGGGGCCUCAGGGUGGUUCCCAGGCAGUGAAGUUCCAUCACUCUACACCGCAGGAGUUCCUGGCCUUUCCUGCACACUGCGGGAAUUGUAACUUAUGGUAAAUUAAAACAGAGUAGGAUUGUGAUCAACAAAAAAACUGGAAACACCUUCCCCUACACCUCCCACUUUCCUCCCUUGCUCAGCUUCAUACCUUCAUUCCCAAUUCCUCUACCUCCUCUGCCCAAGUGGCCCAUGGGUGAUGGGGUUUGAGGUGAAAUCAUAACACUUCAUCUCUACUGCUCCUUCCUCC